rnacentral:rRNA from 1 species
GCAGUCGAACGGGGUAUCAGGGUAUCAAUACCCGAAGUACCUAGUGGCGAACGGGUGCGUAACACGUGAGCAACCUACCCCGGAACUUGGAAUAACACCGGGAAACCGGUGCUAAUACCUAAUACUCUCAUUGAGCCGCAUGACGCGAUGAGGAAAGAUUUAUCACUCUGGGACGGGCUCGCGGCCUAUCAGCUUGUUGGUGAGGUAACGGCUCACCAAGGCUACCACGGGUAGCUGGUCUGAGAGGACGAUCAGCCACACUGGGACUGAGACACGGCCCAUACUCCUACGGGAGGCAGCAGUGGGGAAUAUUGCGCAAUGGGCGAAAGCCUGACGCCCAACGCCGCGUGGAGGAUGAAGGCUUUCGGGUUGUAAACUCCUUUCAGCAGGGACGAAACUGACGGUACCUGCAGAAGAAGCCCCGGCUAACUACGUGCCACCAGCCGCGGUGAGACGUACGGGGCAAGCGUUGUCCGGAUUUAUUGGACGUAAAGAGCUCGUAUGCGGCUUGGCUAGUCGGAUGUGAAAUCUCCAGGCUUAACCUGGAGUCCCCAUCCGAUACUGCUAUGGCUAGAGUCCG